UUUUAAAGGAAGGUGAUUUGGCUCCCUCCAUUGGUGGUCAAUUAUUUGCCUAAUCACAGCUUGUUCACCUGAUGUAGUGUUAGUAAACACUCUCCCUGUGUGGGUCAGCUCCCAGCCUGUAAUAGGGAGGAUGCUUGCAAGUCACAGUUUAUUCAUCUGGUGGAAAUCAUUUAACUCAAAUAUAUAACAGGACUGAUGCAGCAAGCUAAGCCUUAAAGGGACACUCCAGGCACCCAGACUGCUUCUGCCCAUUGGAGUGGUCUGUGUUCCAAUUCCCACCACCCUUAACCCUGUGAAAUAUUUACCUUGCAGGAUUAAGUCCUCCUCUAAUGGCUUUCUACUAGACAGCCACUAGAGGGACUUCCG